GCAAGUCGAGCGGAAACGAGUUAUCUGAACCUUCGGGGGACGAUAACGGCGUCGAGCGGCGGACGGGUGAGUAAUGCCUAGGAAAUUGCCCUGAUGUGGGGGAUAACCAUUGGAAACGAUGGCUAAUACCGCAUGAUGCCUACGGGCCAAAGAGGGGGACCUUCGGGCCUCUCGCGUCAGGAUAUGCCUAGGUGGGAUUAGCUAGUUGGUGAGGUAAGGGCUCACCAAGGCGACGAUCCCUAGCUGGUCUGAGAGGAUGAUCAGCCACACUGGAACUGAGACACGGUCCAGACUCCUACGGGAGGCAGCAGUGGGGAAUAUUGCACAAUGGGCGCAAGCCUGAUGCAGCCAUGCCGCGUGUGUGAAGAAGGCCUUCGGGUUGUAAAGUACUUUCAGUCGUGAGGAAGGCGGCGUCGUUAAUAGCGGCAUCGUUUGACGUUAGCGACAGAAGAAGCACCGGCUAACUCCGUGCCAGCAGCCGCGGUAAUACGGAGGGUGCGAGCGUUAAUCGGAAUUACUGGGCGUAAAGCGCAUGCAGGUGGUUUGUUAAGUCAGAUGUGAAAGCCCGGGGCUCAACCUCGGAAUAGCAUUUGAAACUGGCAGACUAGAGUACUGUAGAGGGGGGUAGAAUUUCAGGUGUAGCGGUGAAAUGCGUAGAGAUCUGAAGGAAUACCGGUGGCGAAGGCGGCCCCCUGGACAGAUACUGACACUCAGAUGCGAAAGCGUGGGGAGCAAACAGGAUUAGAUACCCUGGUAGUCCACGCCGUAAACGAUGUCUACUUGGAGGUUGUGGCCUUGAGCCGUGGCUUUCGGAGCUAACGCGUUAAGUAGACCGCCUGGGGAGUACGGUCGCAAGAUUAAAACUCAAAUGAAUUGACGGGGGCCCGCACAAGCGGUGGAGCAUGUGGUUUAAUUCGAUGCAACGCGAGAACCUUACCUACUCUU
rnacentral:rRNA from 1 species